rnacentral:rRNA from 1 species
GAUGAACGCUGGCGGCGUGCCUAAUACAUGCAAGUCGAGCGAACAGACGAGGAGCUUGCUCCUUUGACGUUAGCGGCGGACGGGUGAGUAACACGUGGGUAACCUACCUAUAAGACUGGGAUAACUUCGGGAAACCGGAGCUAAUACCGGAUAAUAUUUCGAACCGCAUGGUUCGAUAGUGAAAGAUGGCUUUGCUAUCACUUAUAGAUGGACCUGCGCCGUAUUAGCUAGUUGGUAAGGUAACGGCUUACCAAGGCAACGAUACGUAGCCGACCUGAGAGGGUGAUCGGCCACACUGAAACUGAGACACGGUCCAGACUCCUACGGGAGGCAGCAGUAGGGAAUCUUCCGCAAUGGGCGAAAGCCUGACGGAGCAACGCCGCGUGAGUGAUGAAGGUCUUCGGAUCGUAAAACUCUGUUAUUAGGGAAGAACAAACGUGUAAGUAACUGUGCACGUCUUGACGGUACCUAAUCAGAAAGCCACGGCUAACUACGUG